AAAAAUAAUAAUAUAAAAGAUCAAUGAAACCAAGAGCAGGUUCUUUGAAAGGAUAAGCAAGAUUGAUGAACCUCUAGCCAGGCUCACCAAGAAAUAAAGAGAGAGGACCCAAGUAAACAAAAUCAGAAAUGAAAGAGGUGAAGUAACAACAGACCACACA